rnacentral:rRNA from 1 species
AUUGAACGCUGGCGGCAGGCUUAACACAUGCAAGUCGAGCGCGCGGCGGACGGGUGAGUAAUGUCUGGGAAACUGCCUGAUGGAGGGGGAUAACUACUGGACACGGUAGAUAAUACCGCAUACCAUCAGAUGUGCCCAGAUGGGAUGAGCUAGUAGGUGGGGUAAUGGCUCACCUAGGCGACGAUCCCUAGCUGGUCUGAGAGGAUGACCAGCCACACUGGGACGGAGACACGGCCCAGACUCCUACGGGAGGCAGCAGUGGGGAAUAUUGCACAAUGGGCGCAAGCCUGAUGCAGCAAUGCCGCGUGUGUGAAGAAGGCCUUCGGGUUGUAAAGCACUUUCAGUGGGGAGGCGUUACUCACAGAAGAAGCACCGGCUAACUCCGUGCCAGCAGCCGCGGUAAUUC